AACGAACGCUGGCGGCAUGCCUAACACAUGCAAGUCGAACGAGACCUUCGGGUCUAGUGGCGCACGGGUGCGUAACGCGUGGGAACCUGCCCUUAGGUUCGGAAUAACUCCCCGAAAGGGGUGCUAAUACCGGAUAAUUUCUUCGGACCAAAGAUUUAUCGCCUUUGGAUGGGCCCGCGUUGGAUUAGCUAGUUGGUAGGGUAAAAGCCUACCAAGGCGACGAUCCAUAGCUGGUCUGAGAGGAUGAUCAGCCACACUGGGACUGAGACACGGCCCAGACUCCUACGGGAGGCAGCAGUGGGGAAUAUUGGACAAUGGGCGAAAGCCUGAUCCAGCAAUGCCGCGUGAGUGAUGAAGGCCUUAGGGUUGUAAAGCUCUUUUAACCGGGAUGAUAAUGACAGUACCGGGAGAAUAAGCGCCGGCUAACUCCGUG
rnacentral:rRNA from 1 species